GUCGCAAACGCCUCGUAUUUUGCG
rnacentral:siRNA from 1 species